rnacentral:tRNA from 1 species
CGAGAUGUAGCGCAGUUUGGUAGCGCGCUUGGUUCGGGACCAAGAGGUCGUGGGUUCGAAUCCCGUCAUCUCGA